UACGUAGGGUGCAAGCGUUGCCCGGAUUUAUUGGGCGUAAAGGGCGCGUAGGCGGUCAGCACAAGUCAGUUGUGAAAUCUCCGGGCUUAACUCGGAAAGGUCAACUGAUACUGUGCGACUAGAGUGCGGAAGGGGCAACUGGAAUUCUCGGUGUAGCGGUGAAAUGCGUAGAUAUCGAGAGGAACACCUGCGGCGAAGGCGGGUUGCUGGGCCGACACUGACGCUGAUGCGCGAAAGCCAGGGGAGCGAACGGG
rnacentral:rRNA from 1 species